rnacentral:rRNA from 1 species
AUUGAACGCUGGCGGCAGGCCUAACACAUGCAAGUCGAACGAGUGGCGGACGGGUGAGUAAUGUCUGGGAAACUGCCCGAUGGAGGGGGAUAACUACUGGAAACGGUAGCUAAUACCGCAUACCCUCGGAUGUGCCCAGAUGGGAUUAGCUAGCAGGUGGGGUAACGGCUCACCUAGGCGACGGUCCCUAGCGGGUCUGUGAGGAUUUCCAGCCACACUGGAACGGAGACACGGUCCAGACUCCUACGGGAGGCAGCAGUGGGGAAUAUUGCAAAAUGGGCGAAAGCCUGAUGCAGCCAUGCCGCGUGUAUGAAGAAGGCCUUCGGGUUGUAAAGUACUUUCAGCGAGGAGGCGUUACUCGCAGAAGAAGCACCGGCUAACUCCGUGCCAGCAGCCGCGGUAAUAC